ACAAGCAGCGGAGCGUGUGGUUUAAUUCGAUGCUACACGAAGAACCUUACCAGGGUUUGACAUACAAGUAGUAGGAAGGAAACUGGACCGACCCUUCGGGGAGCUUGUACAGGUGCUGCAUGGCCGUCGUCAGCUCGUGUCGUGAGAUGUUCGGUUAAGUCCGCUAACGAGCGCAACCCGCGUUGUGUGUUAUAUGUGCCAUACGAGACUGCCGGUAAAAGCCGGAGGAAGGUGAGGAUGAUGUCAAGUCAGCAUGACCUUUAUAUCCAGGGCUACACACACGCUACAAUGGUCUGUACAAUGGGUAGCCAAGCCGCGAGGCGGAGCCAAUCCUGAAAGCAAGGCCUCAGUUCAGAUUGCAGUCUGCAACUCGACUGCAUGAAGCCGGAGUUGCUAGUAACCGCAGGUCAGCAAUACUGCGGUGAAUACGUUCCCGGGUCUU
rnacentral:rRNA from 1 species